UCUCGAACGAUCACAGAAGUUAAGCAACGUCGAGCCUGGUCAGUACCUAGAUGGGUGACCUAUUGGGAAUACCAGGUACUGUAAG